CAGUAGCCGCGGUAAAACAGAGGGUGCAAGCGUUAAUCGGAAUUACUGGGCGUAAAGCGCGCGUAGGUGGUUUGUUAAGUUGGAUGUGAAAUCCCCGGGAUCAACCUGGGAACUGCAUCCAAAACUGGCAAGCUAGAGUAUGGUAGAGGGUGGUGGAAUUUCCUGUGUAGCGGUGAAAUGCGUAGAUAUAGGAAGGAACACCAGUGGCGAAGGCGACCACCUGGACUGAUACUGACACUGAGGUGCGAAAGCGUGGGGAGCAAACAGGAUUAGAUACCCCUGUAGUCCCGUCUCUUAUACA
rnacentral:rRNA from 1 species